GAUGAAGAACGCAGCUAAAUGCGAUAAGUAAUGUGAAUUGCAGAAUUCAGUGAAUCAUCGAAUCUUUGAACGCACAUUGCGCCCGCCAGUAUUCUGGCGGGCAUGCCUGUUCGAGCGUCAUUUCAACCAUCAAGCCCCCGGGCUUGUGUUGGGGACCUGCGGCUGCCGCAGGCCCUGAAAAGCAGUGGCGGGCUCGCUGUCACACCGAGCGUAGUAGAUUUUAUCUCGCUCAGGGCGUGCUGCGGGUUCCGGCCGUUAAACCACCUUCAUAACCCAAGGUUGACCUCGGAUCAGGUAGGAAGACCCGCUGAACUUAAGCAUAUCAAUAAGCGGAGGA
rnacentral:misc_RNA from 1 species